UCUUAGGCAACACCUUCUCACACUUCCCCUUAGAAACUCCGGGAUUCUAGUGACAUCUGGAAGUAACCUGCGCUUUAGUAAGUCGGCUGAGAUGAGGGCCUAGAAGCCUCAAUUGAACCAGAUACAUUUACUUGUUCCGUGUGCCCAGGCCGUUUCCCUUGCGCAGCUCUGUGUGUGCAGGGGGCUUCUCUCUGCCUCUACCUGUGGCUGCUCACUUGGUCCCCAGGGAGAGAACGGCCACAUUCGCC
rnacentral:lncRNA from 1 species